GGGGGUAUGGCGGAAUGGUAGACGCUACGGACUUAAAAUCCGUUGAUCGUAAGAUCGUAAGGGUUCAAGUCCCUUUACCCCCA
rfam:Oscillatoriales cyanobacterium CG2_30_44_21 cg2_3.0_scaffold_664_c, whole genome shotgun sequence.